UACGAAGGGGGCUAGCGUUGCUCGGAAUCACUGGGCGUAAAGCGCACGUAGGCGGAUUGUUAAGUCAGGGGUGAAAUCCUGGAGCUCAACUCCAGAACUGCCUUCGAUACUGGGAGUCUCGAGUUCGGGAGAGGUGAGUGGAACUGCGAGUGUAGAGGUGAAAUUCGUAGAUAUUCGCAAGAACACCAGUGGCGAAGGCGGCUCACUGGCCCGACACUGACACUGAGGUGCGAAAGCUAGGGUAGCAAACGGG
rnacentral:rRNA from 1 species